GACGAACCGAGCGAACGUUGUUCGGAAUAACUGGGCUUAAAGGGCGCGUAGGCGGGCCGCCAAGUCCGAGGUGAAAUCCUCCGGCUCAACCGGAGAACUGCCUCGGAUACUGGAGGCCUGGAGGGGGGUAGGGGCACGCGGAACUGUGGGUGGAGCGGUGAAAUGCGUUGAUAUCCACAGGAACGCCGGUGGCGAAGGCGGCGUGCUGGACCCCACCUGACGCUGAGGCGCGAAAGCCAGGGGAGCAAACGGG
rnacentral:rRNA from 1 species